rnacentral:rRNA from 1 species
GGCAUGCUUUAACAUGCAGUCGAACGGUAACAGGGAGCUUGCUCCGCUGACGAGUGGCGAACGGGUGAGUAAUAUAUCGGAACGUACCCAAGAGUGGGGGAUAACGUAGCGAAAGUUACGCUAAUACCGCAUACGAUCUAAGGAUGAAAGCAGGGGACCUUCGGGCCUUGUGCUCCUGGAGCGGCCGAUAUCUGAUUAGCUAGUUGGUGAGGUAAAGGCUCACCAAGGCGACGAUCAGUAGCUGGUCUGAGAGGACGACCAGCCACACUGGAACUGAGACACGGUCCAGACUCCUACGGGAGGCAGCAGUGGGGAAUUUUGGACAAUGGGCGCAAGCCUGAUCCAGCAAUGCCGCGUGAGUGAAGAAGGCCUUCGGGUUGUAAAGCUCUUUUGUCAGGGAAGAAACGGGAUUGGCUAAUAUCCAGUCCUAAUGACGGUACCUGAAGAAUAAGCACCGGCUAACUACGUGCCAGCAGCCGCGGUAAUACGUAGGGUGCAAGCGUUAAUCGGAAUUACUGGGCGUAAAGCGUGCGCAGGCGGUUUUGUAAGUCUGUCGUGAAAUCCCCGGGCUCAACCUGGGAAUUGCGAUGGAGACUGCAAGGCUAGAAUCUGGCAGAGGGGGGUAGAAUUCCACGUGUAGCAGUGAAAUGCGUAGAGAUGUGGAGGAACACCGAUGGCGAAGGCAGCCCCCUGGGUCAAGAUUGACGCUCAUGCACGAAAGCGUGGGGAGCAAACAGGAUUAGAUACCCUGGUAGUCCACGCCCUAAACGAUGUCUACUAGUUGUCGGGUUUUAAUUAACUUGGUAACGCAGCUAACGCGUGAAGUAGACCGCCUGGGGAGUACGGUCGCAAGAUUAAAACUCAAAGGAAUUGACGGGGACCCGCACAAGCGGUGGAUGAUGUGGAUUAAUUCGAUGCAACGCGAAAAACCUUACCUACCCUUGACAUGUCAGGAAGACCGGAGAGAUCUGGUUGUGCCCGAAAGGGAACCUGACACAGGUGCUGCAUGGGCUGUCGUCAGCUCGUGUCGUGAGAUG